rnacentral:lncRNA from 1 species
GUUGCGUCAUAUAGGUCAUGGAUUAGUCUGGGACACGUCCCUUCGAUUUUCAAGCAUAUAAAGGUGCAACCGAAUACAUGCCCUAGACUCUUCACAUACAUGAAGACGCACGGGGCUCCACUUGAGGCUGGGCCGGUCGUCGAGAGGAGACGGUCACCUGCGUGCAGCCUUGAGGCUGGAGUGGCUUACUGGGCCAAUAGGAUUCUGGAGCCCUACCAGUGUACGAUGGGCGGUGCGCUUGGGAUGGUGGCUGGGCUCCGUGAAGCAGCGGCGGAGGAUGAUGACAUACUUGCGGCUUAUGAUUUCAGGGGCCUUUUUCCGUCUCUGAGGCUUGGGCCUGCAUGCUUGGCCUUCUGCCGUUUCCUACUUGAUGGCGUGGAGGGCCCUAGUUCGACAC